rnacentral:rRNA from 1 species
GACGAACGCUGGCGGCGUGCUUAACACAUGCAAGUCGAACGAAGUGGCGAACGGGUGAGUAACGCGUAAUCAACCUGCCCUUCAGAGGGGGACACCAGUUGGAACCGACUGCUAAUACCGCAUACUGAUGGAGGGGUUUGCGUCGGGUUAGCUAGUUGGAGGGGUAAAGGCCCACCAAGGCGAUGAUCAGUAAGCGGGCUGGGGGGAAUGACCGGCACAUUGGGAAUGGGACACGGGCCAGGCUUCUACGGGAGGGAGCAGGGGGGAAACUUCCGCAAUGGAGGAAAGUCUGACUGAGGAACGCCGGGUGAGAGAUGGCGGCCUUCGGGUUGUAAAGGUAUGUUAAUCGGGAAGCGGUACCGGAAUAGAAAGCAACGGCUAACUACGUGCCAGCCGCCGCGGUAAUAC